CCUACGUGAAGCAGCAGUGAGGAAUAUUUGUCAAUGAGCGCGAGCCUGCACCAGCCAAGUAGCGUGAAGGAUGACUGCCCUCCGGUUUGUAAAGCUCUGUCAGUGGGUACGAAACUUGACGGUACCCACAGAGUCAGCACCAGCUAACUCCGUGCCAGCAGCCGCGGUAAUACGGGGGGUGCAGGCGUUGUCCGUAAUCAUUGGGCGUAAAGCGUUCGUAGGCGGGACUUAAAGUCUGGUGUUAAAGGCAGAGGCUAAACUUCUGUACGGCACUGGAUACUUGCGAGCUAGAAUUCGGUAGAGGGAAAGGGAAUGCCUGGUGUAGCGGUGAAAUGCUUAGAUAUCAGGAGGAACAUCGGUGGCGUAAGCGCUUUACUGGGCCGUAAUUGACGCUGAGGAACGAAAGCCAGGGUAGCAAAUGGGAUUAGAUACCCCUGUAGUC
rnacentral:rRNA from 1 species